UGUGAACAAUAAAUUAAACCAAAGCUAGAUAUUACUAGAAUAUUUUAGACUAUUCUAAAAUAGUCUAGAAUGAGCUAGAAUGUUCUAGAAGGUUCGAGAACAUUAUGGAGUUCUCUGGAACAUUCUAGAAGAUGAUAGAAACUCUUUUAUGUAUAGUAGAGAAUGUGAGAUUAUUCUAGAGUAGUGGAAUAUUCUAGAACAUAUGAGAAUAGGUAGAUAUGAAUAUUGUUUAGGAUACUUAUAUGGAAUAUUCUAGAAUGUCGUAGAACACGGAGGUUGAUGCCUAUAAAUAGGGGAAGACCUCCUCAUUUGUAAGAUGUAAAAAAGGAGUGAAACAAAGUGUGAGCCCAAGUGUGUACCAAAGUGAUCCCUUGUAUAAUAAAAGUUGAAGAAUUACAAAAGUCUCUCUCCAUAUAGCUACAUAUAUUAAACCUUCCAAACUACCUCCAUUUCUUCAUUUAUCAACUAAACAAAAU
rnacentral:lncRNA from 1 species